rnacentral:misc_RNA from 1 species
GAAAUGCGAUAAGUAAUGUGAAUUGCAGAAUUCAGUGAAUCAUCGAAUCUUUGAACGCACAUUGCGCCCGCCAGUAUUCUGGCGGGCAUGCCUGUUCGAGCGUCAUUUCAACCAUCAAGCCCCGGGCUUGUGUUGGGGACCUGCGGCUGCCGCAGGCCCUGAAAACCAGUGGCGGGCUCGCUGUCACACCGAGCGUAGUAGAUUCUCAUCUCGCUCAGGGCGUGCUGCGGGUUCCGGCCGUAAAACAGCCUUAUUUUACCCAAGGUUGACCUCGGAUCAGGGAGGAAGACCCGCUGAACUUAAGC